AAAACUUUUGACAACGGAUCUCUUGGCUCUCGUAUCGAUGAAGAACGCAGCAAAUUGCGAUAUGUAAUUAAACUUGCAGACGUGAAACAUUAAUUUUUGAACGCACAUUGC
rnacentral:rRNA from 1 species